rfam:Glycine soja cultivar W05 scaffold4039_12, whole genome shotgun sequence.
GUUUUGCGGUGAAGAAUUAGAAUCAAAUUCACAUGUUAGAGAUUUUCAAAUCAAUGAGAAUGACAAUUCUAUUACUGAGCAACUU